rnacentral:rRNA from 1 species
UAGGGAAUCUUCCGCAAUGGACGCAAGUCUGACGGAGCAACGCCGCGUGAGUGAAGAAGGAUUUCGGUUCGUAAAACUCUGUUGUUAGAGAAGAACAGCGCAUAGAGUAACUGUUAUGCGUGUGACGGUAUCUAACCAGAAAGCACGGCUAACUACGUGCCAGCAGCCGCGGUAAUACGUAGGUGGCAAGCGUUGUCCGGAUUUAUUGGGCGUAAAGCGAGCGCAGGCGGUCAAUUAAGUCUGAUGUGAAAGCCCCCGGCUCAACCGGGGAGGGUCAUUGGAAACUGGUUGACUUGAGUGCAGAAGAGGAGAGUGGAAUUCCAUGUGUAGCGGUGAAAUGCGUAGAUAUAUGGAGGAACACCAGUGGCGAAGGCGACUCUCUGGUCUGUAACUGACGCUGAGGCUCGAAAGCGUGGGUAGCAAACAGG